rnacentral:miRNA from 1 species
CCACACCGUGUCUGACACUUU